GGAUGGACGUACCUCUGGUGUACCAGUUGUCCUGCCAAGGGCAUGGCUGGGUAGCUAUGUACGGAAUGGAUAAGCGCUGAAAGCAUCUAAGCGCGAAGCCAACUUCAAGAUAAGAUUUCCCACCGCAAGGGUAAGACCCCAGAAAGACUAUCUGGUUGAUAGGUCGAAGGUGUAAGUGCAGCAAUGUAUUUAGCUUAUCGAUACUAAUAGGUCGAGGACUUGACCAAU
rnacentral:rRNA from 1 species